AAUAGUAAAAUAUUAACAUUAAGUCAUCCGAAAUUAAAAAUUGGGGCAAAAUUCCUUUUGGCAGAUCAUAAGCUUUAUGAACUUUUAACAUAUAAAUUCACUUCAUCAUAUUUGACGAUACUAUUCGAAGUGAUGGAAAGUUUAUACUAUCCAGUCAAAUUGAUCCUGUUUUUAUCGUGUUACCAUAUCUCAAGGCUAAGUCUAACAAAUAUGUAAGCUUGGAUGAAAUCCUAGUCGAUAGAAAUUACCCAGAUGUAUCUAAAAUAAAAAGUUGUACUGGUUUGAAAUAUCUACAUCUUCUUUGUGAUGAAAUGGAGAACAAAUAUAAGUAUAAUAAAGAGAAAUUAUUAAAAUGGUUAAAGAAGAAAUAUGAUUAUUUAGUAAAUACCUUGGAAAACAAAUAUUCUGAUGAAAAAAUAACUCAAGAAGUAAAUGGUAUAUUUUCGCAAUAUUUAGAUGAAGAAACAUUUAAAAUUUUCCUAAGUACGCAAAAUAAUAAUCAGAAACGGAAGUCAU